rnacentral:rRNA from 1 species
GACGAACGCUGGCGGCGUGCUUAACACAUGCAAGUCGAGCGGUAAGGCCCUUUCGGGGGUACGACGAGCGGCGAACGGGUGAGUAACACGUGGGUGACCUGCCCUUACGCUCUGGGAUAAGCCUGGGAAACUGGGUCUAAUACCGGACAUGACUCCAUGACGCAUGUUGUGGGGUGGAAAGCCUUGUGCGGCUAGGGAUGGGCCCGCGGCCUAUCAGCUUGUUGGUGGGGUGAUGGCCUACCAAGGCGACGACGGGUAGCCGGCCUGAGAGGGCGACCGGCCACACUGGGACUGAGACACGGCCCAGACUCCUACGGGAGGCAGCAGUGGGGAAUCUUGCGCAAUGGGCGAAAGCCUGACGCAGCGACGCCGCGUGGGGAGUGACGGCC